AUUUAUAUCACACAUGUAUAAGACUGAGAUCCACAACAUAUCAAAAGAGGAUGAAAAAAAGGAGUUAAGAAAAUAAGGUCACUAAGUAAAAAUAAAUCAGCCUGGGAACCAAUGAAUUUCUCCCUUAGAGAAGUUCACUGUCACCAUGACAACAGUUACAGUACAAAGACCCAUAGAUUAGAGAGGCUGUAACGGAUCAGCAGAGUUGAGAAGAAUCAGCGUUUCGGGAAAGGAACACGGGACACAGCUGACAGCUUUACAGUGGGGUUAGAAAAGGAAGCGUUUUUACCCGUCUCGCUCACCUGGUGACUUUCAGCUACGCCGUCUUAAAACCUGAAAACGAAACUAAACCGAGUUUUGUGAGAAGAAGAUCAGACGAGUGGGUUUACACUCGAAGCUCAGACUCGAGCUCGAUUUUGUAACGAAGACAAAUCCUCAAGUCUGCCGUCGCCCAUUACAGCUGAGCUGCUCUCAACAAAGUCAGCGUUUGGGUGGGGGCCACGCCGCACGCGUCACAGGCUGCUCUGAACACCAGCAAACACCAGAGCUUUGUUGAACGCACCCCGUCUUAUUUAAUCUAUGGCAGAAUGAUCACACUGGCACUUAGAUGGCUAAUCACAUGACCACGCGGGGGAAACAAAUAAGGCACGAGCACGCACAAACACACACAGACUAUUUAAAAAGUGCAUCUCCACUAGCUUUUGUGAUUCAGAGAAACUGCUUGGCUCGCUCUUUUUGUGUUUCACAGAUCAAAGAUGACUCACAAUCAAACAGGAAGGUCUGUCUCACUACGUCACACCAUUAAAAAACGGAGAUGCCACCACCUGACAACAUUCACGCACGCAGCCCUCGUCUGCAGUGAAACCCAUCUGCACUGGUACACACAAACACACACCCACGUCACUGUGGCAUUAAAACAGGUAAACACUUUUUGUUGUCGUUUUUGCUCUCAGCUUCAGUCAAACUGAAAUUCUGACUGUUUUGGUGCUUUUCAGUCACAUCGUUACAGGAACACCACAACACCAAUAUUUACCCACUGAUAGUUUGUUGCAAUGAAAGACAUCUAGUUGAACAGCUUGUUUUGAGUCUUUAGAAACUGGCUGACUAAAGGAAAGAGACAACGUGUCAAAGGUAACUACUGCAGGUGCUGACUGCUGUAAUCACUGUGAGGCUGUCCUUUACACGAAGACUCUGGAAACAGAAACUGAGACUUGCAGAAAUAAUGUUCUUCUCAGGAAUCACAGGUGAUUAUUACAGGAAAGAACAUGAGCAAUGAUAAAUGCAGCAGGAAGCUUAAGGCCUCGGUUACGGCCACACGGUUCUCAUUUAGCCACAGAAAUUAAAACCCUCAUUAAGGGAAGUUGUAGCUGUGCUGGAGGCUGUGAAAGCAGCGAUAACAGUGAAACCCUCAACAGCAAAGACAUCCCAACCAACUCCCCACAGCGUCUGUGCAUCACUGCUGAACCGUGAGAUAAAUGAGAACACAAUGCAGCUUUUGGGAGGCCAUACAGCU
ensembl:lncRNA